UCCUUGGCUGUGGCAUUCCUCUCUGCAGCCCAUGGCACACCGCUCCCUAGCCAGUCAGGCUGUCUCCACACAGCCAACCCUCGUCCUCUCCCUGGAAUUUACCUCCGGAGCCUGAGCCUCAGCGCCCAGCCACCCCGCAAGCAUCUCAGGCUGCGGUGUCCAGUUAUUGUUUCCUGCUGAAAGGCAGUGUUCUCUCUGAGGCCCAAAGACUGACAUUUCUGUGGACUUAAUCUACAUGUCCAAGGACACUUCAAAGAUAUGUUGAAAACUAAGACUUACAGUUGAGUCUCUGAUGAGACUGCAGCCCCUGCUGAUACCUGGAUUGCAGCUUGGUUAAGAGCCUGAACAAAGGACCCAGAUAUGACUGAGGACUUAAACUGCUUUUGUCCUGAUGCAUCAUGGUCACAGAGAAGACUUGUCUGAUGAACAGUGAAAAUUUUAAUGCCUUAAUUACACUGAUUGAUUUUUAAACACUAGAAUAAUCUCGUAUCAUGGAAAAAUCCUACUUGCUUGUAAUAACAUAUUUUUUUUAAAUAUAUUGUUGGAUUUAAUUUGCCAAAAAUAUUAAGAAUAUUCCAUUUAUGGUAGUGAGGAGUUUUGGUCUGUAGUCUUCUUUUCCUGUAAUGUAGUGAGAAGUAUUCCCUCCUCUUCAAUUUUAUGGAAGAGUUUGUCUAGAACUGGUACCAUUCUAAACGCUUGAUAAAAUUCGGCAACAAAACCUUCGGAGCCUGGAGUUUCUUUUUGGAAAGAUAUAAUAACAAAUUCAAUUUCUUUAAUAGUCAUAGGGUUGGUCAGGUAAUUUAUUGUCUCUUACAAGUAAUUUGUCCAUUUUAUCUGAGUUGUCAAAUUUAUUAUUAUAAAAUUAUUCAUAAUAUUAUUUUAUUGUCCAUUUAAUACCUGUAGCAUCUGGAGUGACAACUUUUAGUUCCUGAUAUUGAUUAUUUGUGUCAUUGCACCUCAUGUUUGGAUUAGUAUGGCUAGAAUUUUAAUAAUUUUAUUGAUCUUCUGAAAGAAAGUUAUUUUGGUUUCACUGAUUUUCUCUACAGUUAUCUUUGUUCUGUUUCAUUAAUUUCUGCUCUUAUUUCUUUCAUUCUGAUUAUUUUGGGCUUCAUUUGCUCUUCUUUUUCUAGUUUCUGAAGUUACCCCAAGUUUACUGAUUUGAGGUUACUGAUCUUUCUUCUUUUCUAAUACAUGUAUUUAAUGCUAUAAAUUUUUCUUUAUAUAGCACUUUAACUGCAUAUUCUAUAUUUUUAUAUGUUGUACAUUCAUUUUCAUUCAGCUCAUACUCUUUUUUAAUUUCCUUUUUCAUUCUUUUUAGAAUCAGAUUAUAUAGUUUUUUUGUUUCCAAGUAUUGAGGAAUUUCCCAUAUCUUUUUUGUUAUUAAUUUGUAAUUUAAUUCCAUUUUUGUCAGAGAACAUAUUUAAUAGUACCGGAAUCUUUUUAAAUUUAUGGAGGCUUGUUUUAUGGCUCAGAACAGAAGAGGGUCUAUGAAUGAGCCAGAACAAAUGGCUCAUUGCACUUGUAAAGAAUGUAUAGUCUGCAAUUCCAGGUGUGUUCGACAGAUAUCUAUUAGGUCAGGGUAGAUGAUAGUGCAGACUAAAUACCCUUACUAAAUUUUUCUUUGUCAUACUAAUUAUUGGAAGAAAGAUAUUGGAAUAUAGAUGACUAAGUGUGGGUCUGUGCAUUUAUCCUGCAUUUUUACUUUUUGUUUCAUGUGGUUUUUUUUUUUUCCUUUUUAUUUUCUUUCUUUCUUUCCUUUUUUUUUUUUUUAAAAAAAAGAAGUGGCCACAUCUGCGACAUAUGGAAGUUCCCACACAAGGGGUUGAGCCACAGCCACUGUAGAAGCAACACCAAGUAGUUAUGCUAUGAGCACAUGGGAAGUCCGCUUCAUGUGUUUUGAAGCUAUGUGAGGUACAGAAACAUUUAGGAUUAUUGCAUUAAUUUUUCAUGAUUAUAAAAUGCUUUGCUUAUCCAUGAUAAUAAUAUGCAUUCUUCUGAAGCCUCAAUUUUUUUCUGAUAUUAAUAUAGCCACCUCAGAAUUUUUAAAAAUUAGUGUUAGCAUAGUAUAUCAUUUUCCAUACCUUUACUUUUAACUUAUUUAGGUAUUAUUUAUACUUGUUUCUGUAGAUGUAGAGAAGCUGUGUGUAUUAUUAAUCUUUCCCUUUGAUUUUAGUUGGUCCAUUCCAUUAAGGUUAAAUUCUUCCCCAAACACAUCUCAAACAUAGACUUUAUACACUUUCAUGGAGUUAUCUCAAGACCUGUUCAGUAUAUUUUAUAUCAACUGAAAGGGACAACACAUAUAAAUUGAAAAAAAAAAAAA
rnacentral:lncRNA from 1 species